UAGUCUUUUUCCGGGUAUUUGAGCUGC
rnacentral:sRNA from 1 species